UGGUGGGUUUCGCGCGCCAAGGACAAAAGCCAUUUAUUUAUGGACUCGAUAUCCGCGAGCGUGCAGCGUGGGCGAAGUCAGGACUGACUCACUGAAAGUUUCGUUCCGAACAUUCGCCUCUUCCCCGCCCCCCUUGGUAGCCAUGGUCUGGAAAGGUCAGGCAGAAGCUGGGAUAAAAAUGGUCUGACUACAACCCGUUGGUGCUUCGCAUCAUUGUGGAGUUUUCUCAAUUGUUGAGAAUCGCUGAGCUAGAUUAUAUAUUCAUCCCCUUCCCUUCCAAAACCCAUUUGCGGAAGCCAAUUUCACCUGUGGCAAUCUGAUAAGCAUAGACUGCGUCUUGUCCCCUAUGUUUGACUUAUAGCCGACCCGGUAUAGUGGCUGAAGCGAGCGGUGUUCCAAGGAUGGCUUUGCUACUUUCGCUGGGUUCCAUGCCACUUCAACCCGCCACAGAGCGCUGCCCGAACCCACCAACGCCAUAAUAGUAAUAAUAGCAUACGUUUCCUCGUUGUAGAUGAAUGGGAGGGACAGUGUUAUGCCACGUGAAGGGAGCAAGAACUACGCGUGAGGUUGAAUAUCUCUGAAAAAAGUAUGCAUGUUGCUAAAAAAAAAGGAAACCCCGAAGUUUAAUAUUGUAUAUUGUAUGGUAGAAGGGGCAACUAACUAAUUCGAAAAAAAAAAAAAACGAGAGAUACGAUACUAAACAAUCCAAGUUGAGAAAAAGGAAAUGAAAUAUCAAAUAUCAAAUAUCAGAUAUGGAAAUGAUGAUGGUCAUGAAGAUGGAGAUCCAAGGAUGAGAAAAAUUUUAUCUGAGGCAGAACUCUCAUUCAACGACGGCAUGGUCUUCCCUUAUCGGGACCCCUUUUCUUCCGCGUCCAGUAAACCUAUAUCGACGACGAUUCAUCCAUGAGCUCCCUUCAGAAAUACGAUAGAAAUAAAUAACAUAUAAAACCCCACAAAUAAUAUCCAGGAAAAUGAUGAACGAACAAAAUGCCCAGGGCCAGGCCCACGCCCAAACGAAUAAUAGCGACGAAAGGAUAUAAAGAGAAGAAUCCAAAAAAGGAAAAAAAAAAAAAAAAAUGAAAAUAAAAGAAUAUAAAAGGACAACAUCCUUCUAUCGAAUCACCCAAAUCGGCCCAUCCCUAUCUGUUCGGUUCCAAAUCCAUUCCGUGAAAUUGUUGUAUCCGCUCGCCUGUUGCUGGAUUUUCAAUAUCUCCCCCCGCCUCUUCCCCCUUCCUCCCGCGCCAACCAGCAAAGGCAAUGCUACGGCUAUACAAAUAACUCCCGGAUACGUGCUGGGACACAAAGCGAUUGCUUUGGUUAGUAUCACCAACGUCGUUUCCCACGAGAUUUCUAACCUCCAUAAUUAGAGUUCUCAUCACCGGCACCAUAACCAUCGCUAGUCGUCAUUACCACCGUCCCCAUCACUGUGAUCGUCAUCGCUAUCGACAUCGCCGUUCCAAUCACCAUAAUUAGAAUCCUCAUCACCGGCACCAUAACCAUCGCUACAGUCGUCAUCGCCAUCGACAUUGCCGUU
rnacentral:sRNA from 1 species